AAUAUUACUAUAAUAAUAUCACUAACAAAGAAAGAGAAAUUAAAAAUUAAAAUAAAUAAAUUUAAAGUAACACGCACGAGAUUCAUGUCAUUCAUUUAAAAAUAUAAAUAUAUAAAGAAUUCAACAAAAUGUUCAAUUUAUAUCAGAAUUUAAAUAAAAGAGACGAUGAUCAUAAAGAAUCAGAUGUCACAGGACAUGAUAGAUUUUGGCAAGAACGUCCAAAGACGCGUCGAAAACGUCGUGCCAUCAAUCGAAGAACUCAAAGUGCCAUUGAACUGGAUUCUGAGGCUAUAGUCUCUGCUCGAAGUACUCUUAGGCGUGGAAGAAGCGCAAGCAUCGAAGACGAAGAUAGUGACGAAGAAAAGAAUUAUCAAUUGACCAAUAAAAUUGACAAUCUAGCCAAAAUAUUAUUUAGUCGCGUAUCUGCUGCUCGAAGUUGUAAAGAUUCUGAUACUAGGAAUGGAAAGCAUAAUUAUACAGAAUUGGGUCACGGAUCAUCUAUUUGUGAAGGUGUUGGCGAAUGUAUGGAAAUGGAGAAAAGGUCCAGAGAUCGUGCCUUAUCAAUUUGUCAAACUUAUGUUUGUAGAACAUCACGUUAUAAUUUCAUUAAACAGCUAAAUAAUCUCGGUUCUAGAAUGGACAAACAUUGGUUCAUAGUCAGAGAUACUUCUUUAAAAACCGAUCGAUUGAUUACGUUAGUUCCAUUGACUAAAAACUGUUCAUUGAAUAUAACUCCAAUGACGAAGAAUAUUUUGAAUGAAUUAUUCUUAGCUCUGCAACAUCCAUACAUAUGCCCUAUAUUUGAUAUCGAUUUUCUUGAAUAUGAUAAUAAAAAUUAUGUAAUUGUAGUUCAACCAAUAAGUCAAGGUAGUUUGAAAGAUUUGAUAUAUGGAAUCGAAAGAACAGGUUGGAAUGAAGAUUGGAAUCAAAAAUAUAGUUCUCGUGGUAAAGGACUUCCUUUACCUCAAGUUCAACAAAUGGGACGUCAAAUACUGGAAGCAUUAAUAUUCUUAAAAGAAAGAGGAUUUCCGACUGUAAUUCAUUUGCAUUCAGGAAAUGUGCUCAUUCAAAACGGUGUCGCACGUCUCGCUGGCCUUGAAAAUACCCUUCUUGGUUUUACCAGUCGAAUACAUCCAUUAAUUAUAUCUCGAAUAUCACAAACUAUUUCAAUUGAUAUGACAUGUUUUGGUCACAUGCUGUUUGAGAUGUGCGCUGGUUAUGAAUUACCAUCAUUUAAGCCAAAUUCCGUUCAUCUAUCGGAUGUUGAAAUGUCAUCGAGUUAUUCAAAUUCAUAUUUGAUGAAUUAUCUAAUCGUUAUAAGAUUAUCGAGGAAAUUCUUAUUCAUGAUUUAUUCAGAAAUAUUGAUCUUCGUGAAAUGCGAAGUGCUCCUGUUACGUUAUUUCGUCCAAUCUUAACGCCGCCCAUUGUAAACUUUCUUGACAACAUUAAACGACAAAAUGCUAAUAAGAGGCAAAGAUCGCGUUCUAUAAGCGACGUCUAUUUGACACGCAGAUUUUGAAUUAUACAUUUCAAUAAUGUCGACAUUGAUAUGACAUCUUUACAUAGACGAUAUUCUAUUUGUAAGAAUUCUUUACUUGACGAAAUCUACAACGAACUUUCGAAUACAGUUGUAUAAUUAUAAAAAUAUUUAUUUUGUUAGUAUUAUUAUAUUCAUAUAUUUCUUUA
rnacentral:misc_RNA from 1 species